rnacentral:rRNA from 1 species
UACGAAGGGGGCUAGCGUUGUUCGGAAUUACUGGGCGUAAAGCGCGCGUAGGCGGAUAUUUAAGUCAGGGGUGAAAUCCCGGGGCUCAACCCUGGAACUGCCUUUGAUACUGGAUAUCUGGAGUUCGGGAGAGGUGAGUGGAAUUCUGAGUGUAGAGGUGAAAUUCGUAGAUAUUCGGAGGAGCACCAGAAGCGAAGGCGGCUCACUGGCCCGAUACUGACGCUGAGGCGCGAAAGCGUGGGGAGCAAACAGG